rnacentral:misc_RNA from 1 species
UCUCCGUAGGUGAACCUGCGGAGGGAUCAUUAAGAUGCGCACAGCCUCUGCGCGCGGCGGCCCACCAGCUGCCGCACGCACGCCUUGCAUCCUCGAUAUUACAGCACCUUGCGUUCUCCUUCGGCGGGUCGACCCGCCGUCGGAACCAAAACACCCACCUGCGAGUGGUAAAGGAUGUGGGAGGAUGGUCCGGCCUCUGCAGUCAUGCUGGACCUCUGGUCGUUGGGAUUUCCCCCUCGACCCCCCUUCCUUUGCUCGCAGCAAUACCCGUUCCGAAACAAACAAUCGUUACAACUUUCAACAAUGGAUCUCUUGGCUCUGGCAUCGAUGAAGAACGCAGC